rnacentral:rRNA from 1 species
ACGGGGGCAGCAGUGGGGAAUAUUGCGCAAUGGGGGAAACCCUGACGCAGCAACGCCGCGUGAGUGAAGAAGUAUUUCGGUAUGUAAAGCUCUAUCAGCGGGGACGAAGAUGACGGUACCCGCAGAAGAAGUCCCGGCUAACUACGUGCCAGCAGCCGCGGUAAUACGUAGGGGACAAGCGUUAUCCGGAUUUACUGGGUGUAAAGGGAGCGUAGGCGGCCAGAUAAGUCAGAAGUGAAAGCCCGCGGCUCAACGGCGGGACUGCUUUUGAAACUGCCAGGCUAGAGUACUGGAGGGGCAAGCGGAAUUCCUGGUGUAGCGGUGAAAUGCGUAGAUAUCAGGAAGAACACCUGUGGCGAAGGCGGCUUGCUGGACAGAGACUGACGCUGAGGCUCGAAGGCGUGGGGAGCAAACAGGAUUAGAUACCCUGGUA